rnacentral:lncRNA from 1 species
AAACAAGUUUUAUUUUAAUUGACUAUUUGAAUAAAUAAUUACUAAUAAUUAUUAUAUUUUGUUUAAAAUGUAUGAGUACAAUAUUUUGGGCUAAGAAAAGCACGGUUCUUUAUUUUGCGACCAUCAUUUCUUUUUUAAUGUUCAGGCACUGUCGUUUAUUUUGCGCCCCAUCGUUUCUUUUUUAAUAUUCAUGACUUUAAUCUAAUUAAAGUAAAAAAUUAAAG